UUCCAAGGUAAUCCCAUCUCAAGAGGGCCAACUAGUGCCCUCCAACCCCCAACCCCCAACCCCCAGAAACAUAGCAACAUGGAAUAAAAUCUGGCAUGCCCAAGGUCUAUGAGAGUAAGGGGAUCUUUCCUUUUGACCUUUGACUGCCUAUAUAG